GUCCGUCCCUGCGACUAGGGUCAACGGGCCUUGGUGUACGGGAAACCGGUGGAAAACCGGUGCGGCCCUCGCCACUGUGAACGGGAAGUCCGGUUCCAUUCCUUCGGGAAGCCACUGGGCGGCGCGGAGGGUUCCGCACCGCCCGGGAAGGCGGAGCCGGGGCACCAGCACCCGUGAGCCAGGAGACCGGCCGGGGCGCGUUGUCCAUC
rfam:Streptomyces roseus strain ATCC 31245 contig_8, whole genome shotgun sequence.